AACGCACAUUGCGCCCCUUGGUAUUCCAUGGGGCAUGCCUGUUCGAGCGUCAUCUACACCCUCAAGCUCUGCUUGGUGUUGGGCGUCUGUCCCGCCUCUGCGCGCGGACUCGCCCCAAAUUCAUUGGCAGCGGUCUUUGCCUCCUCUCGCGCAGCACAAUUGCGUCCGCGGGGGGGCGUGGCCCGCGUCCACGAAGCAACAUUACCGUCGUUGACCUCGGAUCAGGUAGGGAUACCCGCUGAACUUAA
rnacentral:misc_RNA from 1 species